rnacentral:rRNA from 1 species
GUAGGGGGCAAGCGUUGUCCGGAUUUAUUGGGCGUAAAGAGCGUGUAGGCGGCCAGGUAGGUCGGUUGUGAAAACUAGAGGCUUAACCUCUAGACGUCGACCGAAACCAUCUGGCUAGAGUCCGGAAGAGGAGAGUGGAAUUCCUGGUGUAGCGGUGAAAUGCGCAGAUAUCAGGAAGAACACCCGUGGCGAAAGCGGCUCUCUGGGACGGUACUGACGCUGAGACGCGAAAGCGUGGGGAGCGAACAGGAUUAGAUACCCUGGUAGUCCACGCCGUAAACGAUGGGUGCUAGGUGUGGGAGGUGUCGACUCCUCCCGUGCCGCAGCUAACGCAUUAAGCACCCCGCCUGGGGAGUACGGCCGCAAGGC